GUCUACGGCCAUGCCACAAGCCCAGUGUCUGAUCUUGGAAGCUAAGCCUGGUUGGGUCUGGUUAGUAUUUGGAUGGGAGACCACUUAGAAAUACCAGGUGCUGUAGGCA
rnacentral:rRNA from 1 species